UCCGAGUGCUGCCUCUGGCACCCAUGCCAUAGGUUCGCCACCACUGCUAUAAACCAUAGCUGUAUGAAAGGAACCAUAACAACUUGUUGACUACAGGUUUUAUUCAAAGGCAUUGAGAUUUGAUUAUGUUUUGUUUUUAAAGGAAAGUGCAUAAUGUGGGGCAACUGUUUGGAAGUACAGCUGCAAAUUCAAGACCUGUGUGCCAUCACCUAUUCAACACUAUGAUAAAAUAUGAAGCAGAUUUCUAAGUCUGUUUAGCCUGAUAAAUACACAAAUCAAAACAUCAAGGCAAAAUAAAUUAGUGAAAGGGUAUUUUGUUGACAUACUGUCCAUAUUUAUAUGUUUCUCACUAAUUUCAGGUUAGCAUUUGCCAAACCUGCCCAAAAUAUUAAUUGUGCUUGCUUGGAAGUUUUCUGGAAACUGAUUUUUUAAACUGAACGUGCUUGAAGCAUGAUUUAGAGCCACAGAGCCUUUAAUCUUAAGGGGGUAGGGGAGGUGAGGGUAGAAAAGUGAAAAAGCUAAUUUGUCUUUCCAAGGCUCUUAGAGAGUAGCCUUGCCAAGUGGCCAUCCUCUGCUUUGGCACUAAUCCAUUCUGUCUCCAGCUGGGCAUAUCAGUGAUGGUUUCCGUUUAUUUGUAUUUUGUAUGCAAUUCCAGUUAUUCACAUGGGGGAAAGAUGGGUUGCUAGUGCAGUUUGACAAAGUUGCAAAGAAUUUCAAUGGGUUCAGUUUUGAUGUUGGUAUGCCCAUAUAUAGGGAACUAUGAUAAGCUGUAAAACGGCAAAGUGUAACAAGAAACAUUCCGUUAAUAUCUCUGAAGGUUACUUAAGCACAAAGCAAAAGCCACAUAUUGCAAAAUGUUUCUUUUAUCCGCCUUUUUACAGAGAACUCAAAGCAGCUUAACACUCAGUUCCCAGGCAACUUAUGGGCAGACUGGCUCCAAGAAUUUUAUUGCCAAGGCCGAAGGAACAAAACCAGCCUACAGCUAACUCUUACUUCAGGCUGCCGACAAAGCAAAUGUUCCUCCUCAAGAUCACCACAGACUGAGUGCAGUCAAGAACACAACAGUGCCAGUGUUCCCGGCAAUCUCAUCAACUGAGGUGGCGCAGCAGUUAGAGUGCAGUACUGCAGGCCACUUUAGCUGACUGUGUUCAGCAGGUCAGCGGUUCAAAUCUCACCGGCUCAAGGUUGACUCAGCCUUCCAUCCUUCCGAGAAAAAGAUCGGUCAACAUUUCUGUUUUGUGACAGACGGCCUAGUAAACUACAACAAUGGAGACAAUAGCCCACAAAACAUAGCAAUUCAUACUGUAGGAAUAACAGUUUUCUUCCAUUUUUUAAAGACAGAUUUGGUCCUUCCAUCAAGGAGUGCUCCAGGAAUGAGAAGAAAUGGCUGGAUCCAGCUCACAAUAAGAGAUACCAAUCCUCCUCAUGACUAAGUAGCAUUUGAUGGACAGCAACUUUUUGAAACUGGAUCCUUUGCAAAGUUCAGACCUAUCAUCCUUAACUAGAAUUUCCUUUGCCCAGAUAUGGUGAAUACUGCAAUAUGUGGAAAUAGCAGACUUUUGACAACCAUUUCAUAUUUUAUUGAUCUAGUUGCAUUCACAGUGUUGAUACCACUUAGUGUCCUGGGAUGAAAUAAGCUGAAUGUUACAUACAAGAACGCACCUGGUAGAAUCCAGAUGGUGCAGAUAACUUUCUAAUUAACUGCAUUAAUGGCUAGGCCCCCCCCCUUAAGUUACUUUUUAAGUCUUCUUUACUCCACCUUCAAACAACUGCUUUUCUUUUCAGCAAUUGUGCCCCAAAUCAGUUUGCUCAUCAAGACUUCAGCCAUUAAGGCAUGAUUUUAUGAGUCUUGCUUAGGGCUAUUUUGCUGGUUUUCCUAACUCAGUCUUACAAUUAAGAGCAUAUAAAUGACAUGUGGAAUGGAACAGCAACAUUCCAACACCCCAUUGUGAAAUUGUGUUCUUCAGUCUCUUAUCAGACCAUCUUAUUAAUUUAAUAGAGUUGCAGACAGGGCUUUGGAUGUGAAAGCAGAAACAUGCAGGGAAAAUCUGGGACACAUCUACAGCUUCUUAAAGCAGCCACUUAUUUUCCUACCGUAGAUCACAUAGUUGUUAAUCCCAGAAAAAAGGAAUGAACUGUCGACUGUAGCUAUCACCACAUUUACAUAUUCCCCUGGGCCGAAGCAUAACUCUACUAGACAUCACUAUACUUUAAUUCAGUUCAUCAGACUAGACAAAUAUGUCUGCUCUUUUGUAGGAAAACAUUAUGAAUAUAUAUCAUUCACCUCAGCAGGAUUCAACAUCUUUUGACAACUGCAUGAUAGGCAGAAAUUAGUUAGAUGCAGGUUUACUUCAUUUUUUUCCCUAGAAAACAUUAGAUUUCCAGGAUUAAGAUUAAAAAGCAGCCUGAAUGUUACUAUAUUUUUACUUUAUUCUGUAUCUUACAAGAUGAAAACUGUCUUCACCUGUCAGAAGUUUUUAAUUUAGGAAAACUGUAUUUCUGCUAUUAGACAUAAAAUAGAAUUAUAGAAUUUUUCCCACUUUCUUUUACAUAUAUUUUUCAACUGCCUGGAGCUGUACCUGAAGAUAUUUGUUUCAAUAAAACUAAGAGAAAAAAAGGCAUGAAUCAAGAAAUGGUAAUUUCUGUUUAAUGUUUGACAAGACCAUCUGAUACUCUUUGCUUAGCAAUGUACCAGUAUAUGUUCAUUUGGAGUAAAUAUUAAAGAUUGUUCUAAUGUGCAUAUGUAUAAGACUUUAAUAAAAAAUGCAACCUAAUAGUAGGGAAGUAUAAGCAUUUUUAUAAUUCUUGUCCUCCCUUCCACCAGACACCUAUAAUUACACUUGAGCAUGUAAGUUAAAUGGAUUAAUAAUAUGAAUUAUUAGCUGAUUUACAUGAGAGUUACAGCUAUGCUCUAAAUCAAGCAUGUCAAACUGCCGGCCUACAGGCCGGAUGCGUCAUGCCAAAACUGUUCCCACCUCAUUGCCAGCAAGGGGGGAAAAGUCGUGAUAUGUUGCGCGACAUCACAUGAUGUCGCGAGUUGACAUGCCUGUUCUAAAUUGAGUGAAGAAUAGAAUUUCAGAUUAAUUCAGUUGCACCAAGAUCAACUGAUCUGUGCUGAAUCCACACCUUGCUAAGCUAAAAGGAGACAGAUAAUUUAUUUUCUUUGGAAUUCCUGUUGGAUUAAAUGACUGAGUCCACACAGCAUUCUAAGCUUUAUUUAACCAUAUUGAAAAAACCACAGGGGUUAAAGUUAGCAGGAUAUGUUAGACUAAAACCAAAUAUAGCCCACCAAUGGCUUUGUGUAAUAUGUGCUUUAUGGGUUUGUGUCAGACGCAUAGCGACCAAUGUAAAGGGCAGCUCAGUUCAGCUGCAUAGAAUACUGACUGUGAACACUGCUACUGUUGAAGAAACUCUUCCAACGCAUAGUCAUCCCAGCCAUAUUUUGUUCAGGGUCAAUAAAUCCAGAUCAAAUUAAUAAAAUCCUGUACCACAAAGAUUUCUAACUAAAAUAAGACACUUAAGGUAUAUUCUAAAACUUGAGCUGGACUUCAGCCUACCCCCAGAAAGCUCCUAUUUGCUGUUCUUAAAAUGGGAAUGAAUUACUCAUCUUUCUAGAUGAGCUAAGCAUUGAAUGGUGCAGUACACUGCAGAGAGAGCCAAUUCAGUACUUCAGCUUACAUAAUGAGACAAUGACUAACUACCGUCUAAUCAUGCUAAUAUUGGGCAUUGUGAGGUAACUUAUUCAUUUUUUUAAAAGAGCCCCCCCCCAAUUGAAAAACUAUAUACAGGAAUGGCAUUUCAAAGCCAGCUAUUGGUAUUUCAUAAAUUCAGAAGUGCAGGCUUCAUUCUCCUUAUUUGACACAGUAGAUGGUGUGUUUUUGAGAAAAGC